AAAAAAUAACUUAUAGAAACCACUUUUAAAACUCAUUAAAAGAUUAGAAUUGCUAUAGAAACUUGAAAAAAAAAAUAACUUAUAGAAACCACUUUUAAAACUCAUUAAAAGAUUAGAAUUGUUAUAGAAUAUUGAAAAAAAAUUAAAAAAAAACUUAUAGAAACCACUUUUAAAAUUUCUAUUAAAUCAUGGUAUAAAUAAAAAAAAUUAAUUUCUCUUUUUAAAAAAUAUAUAAUUUUUUUAUUAAUAAGGAUUUUACAUAUUGGUUUAGGGUCCUUAACUAUUAAGAAAAAAAAAAAUAGUAAAAUAAGUCUAAGGAUUCCACUGUGAGCCUCACCAUUGCGGAUGCUCUUAGAUCUGACACAUCGAGAGGCAACAGCUGUGAGGAGUCAACUAUAAUUAUCGAAUUGAAAGCUACGAUGAAUUUUUUUUCCUUCGAAAAGGCAAAAAUGCCUAUCACCAUUAUUCACUGCCUUUCUCAUUUUCUUCCUCCUUGUCUCCUCUCUGCAUCAACCGAACCGUAGAGACCAUCAAGUCCCACCUCCAUAAUUGCCACAUCCUCACCGCUAUCAACAACCCAUCUCUCCUCGAAGAUUAUAACGGUGCUGAGAUUAAAACUCGUCAACAACCCAUGUCUUCUUCUUUCUUCGCACCUCCUCUUGAGGUCAUGGGUCAAUCUCCUCCUCAAAGCCCCGAUGCUGCUUAAACUCCUCUCAUGUUUGCUCCUCAUGUUCUCUCUCAGAUUCACUUUUCUUGAAAACAGAUCUGAAAAAGUACCAUUCUACCUUCUUCAGUUUGGAUUUCUCUUCACCAUCAUUUUUGUGGCAGAAGAAAAAUCUAUUGGAGGCAAGGGAAAAGAUCCUUACCCAGAGAGAAGAAAUCAGAAGCUUUGCGUGCUGCUCUCCGUCAAGCAAAUGCUCAGAUUGCUGCAUUAGAGGUUUCUCGGUCUUCUGGUUUAAUUAAUGAAACUUUGAAGUCUAUUGAAGAUCACGUUACAGCACAUAUCAAUGAGACACAGAGGAUGGUCCGUAAAGUUGUAGUUUAUUCUGGUGGGGGUUUGCCUUAGCUACGGUCGUUCGUCUAUUGUCUGAAAAAGUAGAUGUUUUCGGAAGCUUUAUUGUUCUUAACUCAUGUUUAUUAUGUGUUCGUCUUUAUGUUAACUAUCAUGUCUACUCCUUUCUCUUACUUAAUCUGCUGUUCUUUGUUUGUAUUAAGUUCUUCUAUUAUUUGCUACCUUUAUUAAAAUGACCCCCCUCUGUUCGUUGUAAUAUAUCAAUCGUAAUGUUAUGUUUCAUUUUUAUGAAUUCA